rnacentral:SRP_RNA from 2 species
GCCGGGAGUGGUGGUGUACUCCUGUAAUCCAACUACUUGGAGGCUAGAUACAGUGGAUGUUUUUAUUUCACGGGUUCUGGAAUUGGAUUUCUCUGUUGUUGACUGGGAGUCCGCUCGGGAGGAGUUAACACUUUCAACGUGGAUGCCUUUGGGUUCCCCUAUCAUAUCCAGAUAAUUAGAGGGAAGUUGAUCACCCGAAAAGGUUUCCACGUUGAAAUUCGCGGAUUUAAAUCCUGUCAGACAGAAUCCACUUCCAGCAGUCCGUGUAAUAAAAACAGACCUGUAUCUAU